GGAUGGGACAAUGGCGCUGGCUUUGUCGCCGUUGUCGACGGCCUCUGGGUACUCUAACAGCCCAGGGUCAGGACAGUCUGGCAAGAAGCGGGGUCGACCACUGGGAUCUGGGAGGAAACAACAACUUGAUGCAUUGGGUUCUGCAGGAACUUCUUUUACUCCACAUGUUAUUACUGUUCAAACUGGAGAGGAUGUUGCUUCAAAAAUUAUGUCCUUUUCCCAGCAAGGGCCACGCACUAUCUGUAUUCUUUCAGCAAA
rnacentral:misc_RNA from 1 species